CCACCACCAUCGUUUCUUAUCGAAGGAUUAUUAACAUUAGAAAUCCAAUUCGCCGAAGAUUAAGACAGAAAAUAUUGGUCUCAACUCAGAUCACUAAGGAUGUUUGAAUUGGGGAAGAAGAAAAACUGAAUCAUUGUUUGGGAGAGAUUGUUAUGAUGAGAGUUGUGAAUCUUUUGGUCUUACAUGUUAAGAAUUGGAAAAGCUAUAUGUGGUGCUUUUGGUACGAUUGUUGUCCACAAAGUUUCAUCCAUCUGAUUCUUAAAGAACAUUUAGUCAUUCUAAAUCAUUUAGAUAUUCUUUUUAAAGAUAUAAUUGUUCACUGACGAGUGUCCAAACAAUCAAGUCCAAAUGGUCACCUAGUAACUCACAGUUUGUUUUAUAUCAAUGCACAAAUUUAUACAUGAACAAUAAU